AUAUCAAACUGCCUUGACUCUCUUUGUUUCUCUCUCUUUCAUCAGACUUGAAGAAAAAAAAAAAACUGUUACAGCCAUCACGUGUUUUGACUGUAGAGACAGAAGCUGUAAAGCAGUACUGCUCAACUUUGAGGCCACAAAUAUUAAUUUUGUAUUAAUAAGAACAGACCUGAGGCUCCUUUUUUGGUCGUGACCCACUAGUUAAAUACAGGUAUUCAAUUCUCAAUGGACUUUCUGUCUCUCUGAAUGCAUCAGAAGGUACAAUAGUAAUCCUUUUUUUCCAUGACCUCCUCUGGUUUUCCUCCCUCGCUUGUCUUCCACUCCCUCUUUUUGCCCGUUGAUCUCUGCACCUCCCCCUCUUUCCCUUUCGGCAGCUCAACCGGAGGGGAUGAAAGCAAGUGAAGAACAGAUCAAAGCUUCCCUCAGGGCCACAGAUACGCUGAAGACAGACACACGGGUCGUAUAUCACUCUGUCUGUCUGGCAGACGGGUGCCACAGCUUUAUCUGACGAAUACAGUCCACACCGCAGCUCAUUCUGCAAAUCAUACACUCAUUGAGGCCAGUCACUGUUUACAAUAUUUACAUUUAUUACGCUGCUCUCUGGAAUACUUCCAGCAUUGAGUCAAAUAUGUUGGUAUAAUGACCAAUAAAUGGUGAGUAAAAAAGUC